rnacentral:lncRNA from 1 species
GCACAGAAUAUUUUGGUAUAUUUAUAUCACUUAGAUAUUCCAUUAGGAAUAAUGUUCUAAAGUAUAUUUCUCUCCAAUAUAUUUAUUAAUCACUCUGUAGUUGUCAGAAUUUAAUUUGUUAGAUAUAUUUCAUGUUUUAAUGCCUUGCUAGCAAUUUCUUUUUACAUUUUCCUUUGUUCUUUAUUGUUUAGGCUGUCAAAUCUGGAGAAUUAAAGGGUUUUGAUUGGGGCUACAGAGGAAAUAUGGCUCACUAUAACCAGGUAACAAAACGCUUAUUUCUUCUUUACGUCCCUCAGGGGUAUUUGACAAAAAUAUGUAUUACUGGUCCUUCAUAUGAUUGGUCACAGCCAUAGAAAAAGUGAUAGUUUACUUAACACCUAAUUGGUAGACUGCAUUAAGGUAACUAGGAAACCUCUCGAAAACAGAAUAAGACAUGUGGAAGGUGAGAGAUUAGCUAAUGUUCUGUGCAGGCAGCUGAAUGUAAAACCAGAUAAAUAACCCAAGGGCAAAAUUAUGAACAAUUACAGAAUGUAGAAAAAAAAUUCAAUAUGGAUUCCAUCAUAGAACAUCAAUGCUUUAACAAGUAGAAGACUGAAGUGCAUUUUUUAAUAACCGCUCAUGAGAAGGGAUUAACCACACGGAACAUGGUGCACGUCAAAUGAUAGUGUAUGGGCUAAAUAGUGGACCGGGACACGAAUAACCUAUGAUGGAAUAAUGAGCAUACCAGGUUUAGAUCCACCCGAGCAUGUAACAAACAUAUACAGGACCUGCCCUCAUGAGCAGUGUGGAAGACUGUUAACCCCUUAAGGACACAUGACGUGUGACAUGUCAUGAUUCCCUUUUAUUCCAGAAGUUUGGUCCUUAAGGGGUUAAUGUGCGGAACCAGAGACCAUUUGACAGAGAAACACCAUUUUUCUAUUGGGAUUACUUUUUUCUAGAAUUCACAAUUCCUGGUUUAGAGAAUAACCCUGAGUACCAUAACCUGAAAGUAAUAGAGAUAAAUAAAAAAACAACUGCCUUAACUUAUCCAUUUGUAUUGCCAUAGUGUUCUGAUUUAUUUGUUUGACUUGAAAGAUUAUUACAUGAUUUAGAAAGAAUUUGUAUAUCUACACGUUUUAAAUAGUUUGUACAUUUGGUAAAACUCUCCUGUUAGCUACAAUUGCCUCAUAUGUCAAUUGUGUAUGGAAACAUUCCUGCACAGCUGUCUUUCCAAUAGAAUGAGCUACACUGGUCAGCCACAACAGUAAAAUCACUGACAGGUAAAGUAAUGAUAUUGUUAUAACGGCACCUGUCAUGGGCUGGGAUAUGUUAGGCAGCAAGUGAACAGUCCGUUCUGGAGUUUCAUGUGUUGGAAGCAGAUAAAAUUGGCAAGCGAAAAGAUCUGAGUGACUUUGACAAAUAGUGAUGAGUAGAUGACUGGAUCGGAGCAUCUCCAAAACUGCAAGUUUUGUGGGAUGUUCCAGAUAUGCAGUGGUUAAUACCUUCAAUAAGUGUUGCAAGGAAGGACCGGCGUUAGGGUCAUGGGAGCCGAAGUCUCAUUAAUGCAAGUGGGGAGCGAAUAUCCGAUUACAAAGAAAUGCUACUGUAGCUCAAAUUGCUGAAAAACGUAACGCCGCCCAUGAUAGAAAGGUGUCAGAACACUAUGUGCAUCACAGUUUGCUGACUAAAUGCAAACCGCUAAGAGUGCCCACGAUGACCCCUAUCCACCGCCAAAAGCGCCUCUAAUGGGCACAUGAGCAUCAAGAACUGGACCAUUAAAAAGGCAGGCUCAUGGAGGCAGUGUUAUGCUCUGGGCAAUGUUCUUGUAGGAAACCUUUGGACCUGGCAUUCAUGUUACUUUGACAAACAUCACCUACCUAGAUAUUGUUGCAAACCACAUACACCCCUUCAUGGCAGUGGUGUUCUAUGAUGGCAGUGGGCUCUUUCAGAAGGAUAAUGCACCAUGCCACACUGUUGAUCAGGAAUGGUUUGAGGAACAUGAUAAAGAGGCCAUGGUGUUGCCUUGGCCUACAUAUAUUUCCCAGACCUCAAUACAAAUGAGCAGCUGUAGGAUGUGCUAGAAAAACAAAUAUGAUCCAUAGAUAACCCACCUUGCAACAUGCAGGACUUAAAGGAUCUGCUGCUAAUGUCUUGGUGCUAGAUACCACAGGACAUGAUCAGAGGUCUUGUGGAUAUUUCAUGUCUUGACAAUUCAGAGCUGUUUUGGCAGCACGAGGGGGACCUACACAAUAUUAGGCAGGUAGUUUUAAUGUUGUGACUGAUCAAUGUAGGUUUAUUAGACAUACACAUUUAAAACUAGAGACUUGCAUAACUGGUCUUGGCACUUUAAGCACCAUAACCAUUACAGCUUGUUGUAGUCAUUCUGGUGCAAGGCUCUGGGUGCAGCCAUUUUGUUUUGUUCUUAUUUUAACAUUGUUGUUUCCACUUACCAUUUUCUCUUAUUUCCUUGUUUAUUAUAGCAGUUUAAUAGAUUUCUAUAAAAUGCUUGGAACCAUUUUAAUGUUAGAAUUGUAUGUAUAGUCUUUUUAUAGAAUAUAAUGCCUGAUGUGCAUAUGUAAUAUGUCAUAAUGGGCCCACAUCAGCUGAUUUCCAUCACAUAUUUUCUUUAGGUUCUGUAUUAAAAUUCACCUUAUUGUGUGCGUCCAUAUUUGUGCCCCGAAAAAUAACUUGUGUGAAGAGAAUGAUUGUAAUGGAAACCUAAGCACCAUAUUAUUCUGACCGUGCUUUUUCUUUCAGAGCACUCCCCCUAUGUACAAUGUGAGAAAUAUGAAGGUCCCAACUGCCCUGUGGACUGGAGGCAAUGACUGGCUAGCAGACCGCAAGGAUAUUGCCAUGUUGCUUACACAAGUCAGUAAUUUGGUUUAUCACAAGGAGAUUCCAGAAUGGGAACAUCUAGAUUUCAUCUGGGGAUUAGAUGCACCUUAUCGCAUGUACAACGAAAUCCUCGAAUUGAUGAAAAAAUAUCCGUGAAUAUUUCUACAGUCAGGUGCUAGAACACUCCUCUAGUAUUGGCAUUUGAAACUGGAAAUCUUAACCAAGGACUGUCUUCCAACUAUUGCAGACUUAACUCAGGUGCUUUUGCUAAAUGUUGAUUUUUAAAGGUAUGGCUACAAAAUGAAUGAGUAUAUCCAGGGCCAAUCAGAAAGUAAUGUUUGACCCUAUAUUGCUAGAGGAUCACAUUGUCAAGCCAUACUUAUACCAAGUGCGCUGCUGCUACAUAUUUUAUAGGUGACCAAUAGUAAUUUGCAGUAACUGAGCAAAAGGCAUAUAUCAAAAACUUUCACUCAGGACUCCAUGCCCUACGUUACUGUGCUUUUAACGGUGUCCUAUAAUGCAAACAGUAUUUCAUUUUCAAGGUGCCGAAUAUCACUGAACCAAAAUGCCAUUACUCCUUUCUGACGCCACUCUAUGGAGCCAGAACCACUACUGCAUCACUCUAGUUAAGAGUAUUUUGUGUCUUGAUAAAACAUAUUUUGAUAUUUUUCUUCCCAUGAAUAUCAUUUUGAUUUGAUGUAGGAAUAUUUUGUUUUGUAUUAACUUUGCAACUGAUGUGAUGUUUACAACGGACUAUCAGUCAUCUCAUUGAUAGUCUAAGAUACAAUUAUUUUCUAGUAGUCGGCAGGGCAGGUGAUCUGCCAAAUGAUACUGAUAAACUACUGGAUCAACUGAUAAUCCAUCUGAAAGCAUGAAUCACCUGCAAGAUUAGGUACUGAUUGUAUUCUAAACCAAAUAUUCUAUUUCUUCCUCAAAGCAUAGCUGCUGCAAGUGAAAGAAUGGUUUGCGCAGUGUGAAUGUUCUCAGGUAGUUCAGGUGUUCAAGUCAAAAUCUAAAAAGCUAUUUCUACCAUUAUUAUUAUUAUUUUUUUAUUUAGAUUCUUACAGGACCCCUAUUUGCCUUAUAGAAGGAAUUGUGAUAUGGUUGUUUGAGACUGGAUUAUAUGGAGCCACAUAAAGAAUAGCAUACACUGUAAACAAGGAAUGCUAGCUCUUAACUAUAUCUUCCCUGGCCAGAAAUUGGUGAUUAUAUGACCAUCAGAAUUUAGUCAUUAGAAAUAGGAAAUG